rnacentral:tRNA from 1 species
GGGGAUUUGGCUCAAUGGUAGAGCGCUUGCCUAGCAAGCGCAAGGCCCUGGGUUCGAUCCCCAGCUCCG